rnacentral:lncRNA from 1 species
UUCUAGAACUUUCGAGACCUUCUCCCUGUUAUCCACACUUACUUUACAGAGGAGACUCAGCACUUCGAGUCCCCUGUCCUUCAGGCCAGGCCAAACCUUGGUCCCCAGAGCCCAGUGUGGCAGAGGCCAUCGAAAACUGACCCACGCACUCUAGCCCAGCCCUGGAUUUACAGCCAAGCACUGUAUAGGGAUGGGUGACUCUUUUGUUUUUGUUUUUGUUUUGAGUUGGGUCUCUCACUCUCUCACCCAGGCUGGAGUGCAGUGGCAUAAUCAUAGCUCACUGUAGCCUUGACCUCCUGGGCUCAAGCCAUCCUCCUGCCUCAGCCUCCUGCAGAACUGGGACUACAGGCACAUGCCACCACACUCAGCUAUUUUCUGUUUUAUUUUUUUGUAGAGUCAGGGUCUCACUAUGUUGCCCAGACUGGUCUUGAACUCCUGGCCUCAAGCUAUCUUCCUGCCUCAGCCUCCCAAAGUGCUGGGAUUACAGGUGUGAGCCACUGUGCCUGGCCUCUUGGUGACUCUUUGCAAGGGCAUUGCUGGCUGGCUGAUAUGGCCUGCAGCCUCUGCCUGUAACCAUCAGAGCGAUACUCUCAUUAUCGGCAAGGUGGGACCCACCCUGGCCCAAGAGACAGGGCCUGUUAUUCCACUGUAUGGAGGAGAAGCUGAGGCUUAGGGAAGGCAGAUGACUUGGCAAGGUCAUAAAGACAGCAAGCUGCAGGACCAGCUCAUUCUAAGGCAUGAACCCCCUGUGGCCCACCUCACCAUGAUGUUAAC